rnacentral:rRNA from 1 species
AAAUUGAAGAGUUUGAUCAUGGCUCAGAUUGAACGCUGGCGGCAGGCCUAACACAUGCAAGUCGAACGGUAACAGGAAACAGCUUGCUGUUUCGCUGACGAGUGGCGGACGGGUGAGUAAUGUCUGGGAAACUGCCUGAUGGAGGGGGAUAACAAC